CCCACAUGGUGGAUCAUUGUUGCUGUUAUUGCCUGUUCGUUUAUUGCAGCUUCAGUUUUGAAGAAAUUGUUGGAUCCUAAUCCCAAAAGACUGAGAAGAGAGGCGAGUGACUCACCUCACUGAUAAGUUCUGUGGCCCUCUUGAAACCCUCCAACUCAAUGGCUCCAGUGCCGAUCCAGGCAACACCACGCAGAAGGAGAGAAAGCCCAUUGGUCGGGAAGUGGAGGCAUAUAAAGCGAGACAAAAAUAAUCUGUCAUUCUGUAAAUGUUCUUAUUGAUGGAACUGACCUCAAUCUACUUUCCUGUUCCUAAAAGUAAAAUAUACCACAUAAUAAAACAGGUUUU